UACGUAGGGUGCAAGCGUUUAAUCGGAAUUACUGGGCGUAAAGCGUGCGCAGGCGGUUUUGUAAGUCUGACGUGAAAUCCCCGGGCUCAACCUGGGAAUUGCGUUGGAGACUGCAAGGCUAGAAUCUGGCAGAGGGGGGGUAGAAUUCCACGUGUAGCAGUGAAAUGCGUAGAGAUGUGGAGGAACACCGAUGGCGAAGGCAGCCCCCUGGGUCAAGAUUGACGCUCAUGCACGAAAGCGUUGGGGAGCAAACGAGGAU
rnacentral:rRNA from 1 species